rnacentral:rRNA from 1 species
UACAGAGGGUGCAAGCGUUGUUCGGAAUUAUUGGGCGUAAAGCGCGUGUAGGCGGCUUGGUAAGUCGGGUGUGAAAUCCCUCAGCUCAACUGAGGAAGUGCGCCCGAAACUGCUUUGCUUGAGUGCUGGAGAGGGUCGCGGAAUUCCCGGUGUAGAGGUGAAAUUCGUAGAUAUCGGGAGGAACACCAGUGGCGAAGGCGGCGAUCUGGGAAGAUACUGACGCUGAGGUGCGAAAGCCAGGGGAGCAAACGGG